rnacentral:rRNA from 1 species
AUGGCGACGGGCGAGGAGGCGAGGGAGCGCGGCGCGGAGUCGGCGGAGAUGGUGCCGUCGUGGCGCGAGCAGCUGACGGUCCGGGCCUUCGUGGUGAGCGCGCUCCUGGCCGUGCUCUUCAGCGUCAUCGUCAUGAAGCUGAGCCUCACGGCGGGGAUCAUCCCCUCGCUCAACAUCUCCGCGGGGCUGCUUGGCUUCUUCUUCGCCCGUCUCUGGGCGGCCGCCGAGGCCAGGCUGGGCCUGCCCCGCCGCCCCUUCACGCGGCAGGAGAACACCGUCAUCCAGACCUGCGUCGUCGCCGCCUACGGCAUCGCCUUCAGCGGUGGAUUCGGCUCCUACAUGUUUGCCAUGAGCAGCAGGAUCGCCGGCCAGGCGACGGAGGCGAAUGACGCCAUGAACGUCAAGGACCCCAGCUUGGGGUGGAUGAUCGGGUUCCUCUUCCUCGUUUGCUUCGUCGGCCUCUUCGCUCUGGUGCCCCUGAGAAAGGUCAUGAUCAUCGACUACGGGCUGAGCUAUCCGAGCGGCACCGCGACGGCGACCCUCAUCAACGGAUUCCACACUCCUCAGGGCGCCAAGGACGCAAAGGAGCAGGUGAAGACUCUUGGCAGGUACUCCCUCUUCAGCUUCCUCUGGGGCUUCUUCAAGUGGUUCUACACCGCCGGCGACGACUGCGGCUUCGAGAGCUUCCCCUCGCUGGGCCUCGAGGCGUACGAGAGGAAGUUCUACUUCAGCUUCUCUCCGAUCUACGUCGGGGUCGGGAUGAUCUGCCCCUACAUCAUAAACGUCUCCAUUCUCCUCGGCGGCAUCCUUUCGUGGGGACUGAUGUGGCCCCUGAUAGAGAAGAAGAAGGGGAGCUGGUACCCGGCCACCGCCAAGCGCUCCGACCUCCAUGGGCUGCAAGGCUACAAGGUCUUCAUAUCCAUCGCCAUGAUUCUUGGUGACGGCUUCUACAACUUCGUCAAAGUCAGCCUGAGGAUGUCCACGGCAUUCAUGGCAGCAGCCAGGAGGAAGAGCACACUCCCGGUGUCCGGUUCCGGUGAUGGCCCGGCGAGGUCCCUGGACGACGAUGACUUGCGUCGCACCGAGUACUUCCUCAGGGACCAGAUCCCGAUGGGCGUGGCGCUGGCUGGGUACGUCGCCGUGGCAGCCGUCUCCGUCGGCGUCGUCCCCAAGAUAUUCCCGCAGCUGAAAUGGUACUACAUCCUGGCCGUCUACGGCAUGGCGCCGGUGCUGGCCUUCUGCAACGCCUACGGGAUGGGCCUCACCGACUGGUCCCUCGCCACGACCUACGGGAAGCUCGGCAUCUUCGUCUUCGGCGCGUGGGCCGGCGCCUCGCACGGCGGCGUCAUCGCGGGGCUGGCCGCGUGCGGCGUCAUGAUGACCAUCGUCGCCACCGCCGCCGACCUCAUGCAGGACUUCAAGACCGGGUACAUGACCCUGGCGUCGCCGAGGUCCAUGUUCAUCAGCCAGGUCAUAGGCACGGCCAUGGGCUGCGUCAUCGGGCCCUGCGUCUUCUGGCUCUUCUACAGGGCGUUCGACAACGUCGGGCUGAGCGGCAGCGACUACCCGGCGCCCUACGCCGUCGUGUACCGCAACAUGGCCAUCUUCGGCGUCCAGGGCUUCUCCUCCCUGCCCAAGCACUGCCUCACCCUGUGCUGCGUGGUGUUCGCCGCGGCGGUCGUCAUCAACCUUGCGCGAGACCUGGCGCCAGAGAAGGUGUCGAGGUUCAUGCCCGUCCCCAUGGCCAUGGCGAUACCGUUCUACCUCGGGUCGUACUUCGCGAUCGACAUGUGCGUCGGCAGCGCGAUACUGUUCGUGUGGGAGAGGGUGGAUAAGGCCGGGGCGGACAUGUUCGCGCGCUCGGUUGCUUCGGGCUUGAUCUGUGGCGAGGGGAUCUGGAGCAUGCCGCAGUCGGUGCUGGCUCUGGCCAAGGUGCAGCCUCCGAUCUGCAUGAAGUUCCUGUCCAGAUCCACGAAUGCUAGAGUGGAUGCCUUCAUCCAAACCCUCUCGUCCAAGACAUAG